CCAGGCCUCGCUCCGCCAUCCCAGCUCCGCCAGCCACACUCCGGAAGACAAGAGAGGGGGCCGAAGGAGGGACGGACUGACGCGGGUCCACACCCCGGCUACAGGAUCCGGCUCCGGCCUCCGAGAGCCGCCAGCGCCGCCAGCGCCGCUACUGCCGCCGCCGCCAUGAGCAAGGGUCACGUGAGCGCGCCGGCCCCGCCCCCGGGCCGAGGACGCACCGCCUCCACAGCCAAGCCAAACUCAGGACUCGCGGGCUUAUGGCGCCCUCUUCCUGGAAGCCCCUGAAACGACGAGCCCAAACUCUUCACCCCGAAUUCUGCCCAGGCCGGAUUGCUGGUCCGUGAGGACUCAUCUCCAGACCAGAAGAAGAUUGCAUAAUCCCAGAGGUCCUGGACUUACUCCUGGAGGAGAUAGCUACAUGAUGUUACCUCUCUUUGAGGGAGGGGAUGAGAUUUCAUCAAUGAUCAAUUGAAAGAAAAGUCCAUUCACAGCAAAACCUAAGUGGUAAUAAACCUAACAAGAAAUUUACAAGACCAAUGUCACCAUUUAAAAAAUUAAUUUAAAAAAUGUACAAGACUGAAAUGGAGAAAACUGUAAUAGCUAUAACUGAAUGAUAUAAAAGAAGAACUAAAUGGGAAAAUAAGAUGAUGAUGAUUACUUUAAUAAUAGUUACUAUUCCCAGAUAGUCUCAAUAUCAUAGACGUCAAAACUCCAAAAAUUUAUUUAUAAAAAUCAAUGCCAUUUUUACCAAAAAUAUUUUUUAAAUCACAACUUGACAAGCUGAUUCUAAAGUUUAAGUAAAAGUUAAAAUGUUCAAGAAAAGUCAAGAAAAAUUGAAAAUAAAAAACUUAAAAGGGAGAUUUGCCUGACCAGAUAUGAAAACAUGCUAAAAAGCUACAAGCCUCAAAACCAAUAAGUCAUGAAGAAAGACUAAUUAAUCUAUAUAAAAAUUAAGUCUAAAUGAUGAAAGAGAAGAUAAACAUGCAUGGUCUUUAGUGGCAAGACUCAAUAAUUUUUUGUAGUGUCAAUUCUUCCAAAAUUUCCUAUGCAGUAUCAGUAAAAACCAAACAGUUUUUUUUUUUUUUUUUUUUAAGCUGAAAAGAAAAGCUUUAUUAGAAGAGAAAGUAUACUUCCAGACAUGGAAGUGGGCCUGAGCAAGAGAAGCGUGGCUCAAAAAGCCCCAACAAAAUUUUUAAAUAAAAUUUAUUAGGUACUUCUAAAAUUCAUAUUAAAAGGAAAAAAUUUGCAAGAAUAGCCAUUCUAAACAAAAACAACCAUGGGAGCAAUUUGCCCUUUCAAAUUAUGAAAUAUACUAAAAGCUAUAGGAGUUAAAACAGGGAUGUUAUUAGUGCAGGAAUAGAUAUAAGGAAUUUGAUAAAUAUUGAAGAAACAGACUCAUGUAUAACCAGGGAUUUCCUUAAUGGAAUCAGAUUUCAUUAUCACAUCAGAGAGAAAAGAUUAUGUAUUCACAAUCAUUUUCAAACAAAUAACUAUUCAGAAAAAUUAAAUACUUUUUAUAAUGUACCCAAAAAACUGAAUAUACUUAAAAGCUAAAAUUUAAAAACCAAAGUUAUUAGAGUAUUAGAUGAAACUAGAAGAAAAAAUAUUUUACUUCAGGAUAGUGAAGGCUUUCCUAAGAGAGGUGUAUUGGAAAAGGUUGAUAUAUAUGACCUCGGAAACAAUUAAAUAUAUAAAACACCAUACGGAAGUUAAAAAAUUUUUUUAAUUAUGGAUAAGAAUAGAAUGAGACCUUUCUGGAAACAGGAUCAUAGUAGAUGUAGCUAGUUAAUAUGAGGUCAUACUGGAGCAGGGUGGACCCUUAACCAACUAUAACUGAUGUCCUUACAAAAAGAGAGAGAGACAUGGGGGAAGAAGAUUAAGUGAAGACACAGGGACACACAAAGAGAAGGCCAUAUGACAGCAGGCAGAGAGUAGAGUGAUGCAGCUGCACGCUGAAGAAUCCCGAGGAUGCCAGCCACCCCCAGAAGCAAGAAGAGGCCAGGAAGGAUUCAACCUCAGAGUCUCAGAUGGAGCAUGGUCCUGAUGCACCUUGAUUUUGGAUUUCUAGCCUCCAGAACUGUGAGAGAAUAAAUUUCUGUUGUUUAAGCUAAAAUAAUUUUUUAAAUAAAAAUUAUGGAUAAGAAUACAUUUCCAUAUA